AUACGGAGGCGGCAAGCGUUGUGCGGAAUCACUGGGCAUAAAGAGCACGUAGGCGGCAAGGCAAGUCGGGUGUGAAAUCCCCCAGCUUAACUGAGGAAUUGCGCCCGAUACUGCCUCGCUAGAGGACAGGAGGGGAGAGUGGAACUCUAGGUGGGGCGGUGAAAUGCGUUGAUAUCUAGAGGAACGCCGGUGGCGAAAGCGACUCUCUGGCCUGUUCCUGACGCUGAGGUGCGAAAGCUAGGGUAGCGAACGGGAUUAGAAACCCUAGUAGUCC
rnacentral:rRNA from 1 species